rnacentral:rRNA from 1 species
AUUGAACGCUGGCGGAAUGCUUUACACAUGCAAGUCGAACGGCAGCACGGACUUCGGUCUGGUGGCGAGUGGCGAACGGGUGAGUAAUGUAUCGGGACGUGCCCAGUCGUGGGGGAUAACGUAGUGAAAAUUACGCUAAUACCGCAUACGAUCUAUGGAUGAAAGCGGGGGAUCGCAAGACCUCGCGCGAUUGGAGCGGUCGAUAUCAGAUUAGGUAGUUGGUGGGGUAAAGGCCCACCAAGCCAACGAUCUGUAGCUGGUCUGAGAGGACGAACAGCAACACUGGAACAGAGACGCGGUCCAGACUCCUACGGGAGGCAUCAGUGGGGAAUUUUGGACAAUGGGCGAAAGCCUGAUCCAGCCAUUCCGAGUGCAGGAUGAAGGCCCUCGGGUUGUAAACUGCUUUUGUACAGAACGAAAAGGUUUCUACUAAUACUAGGAGCUCAUGACGGUACUGUAAGAAUAAGCACCGGCUAACUACGUGCCAGCCGCCGCCGUAA